rnacentral:rRNA from 1 species
UACGGAGGAUGCAAGCGUUAUCCGGAUUUAUUGGGUUUAAAGGGUGCGCAGGUUGUUUGAUAAGUCAGUGGUGAAAGUCUGUCGCUUAACGGUAGGAUUGCCAUUGAUACUGUUAGACUUGAAUAUGGAUGAGGUAGGCGGAAUGUGUAGUGUAGCGGUGAAAUGCAUAGAUAUUACACAGAACACCGAUUGCGUAGGCAGCUUACUAAUCCAUCAUUGACGCUGAGGCACGAAAGCGUGGGGAUCAAACAGGA